GCGCCGGUGGUGUAAGGUGAACUCCUCUGCCCGGAAAGCAGAAGAUGCUGGUUCGAGUCCCGCCUGGCGCA
rfam:Heligmosomoides polygyrus genome assembly, scaffold: HPBE_scaffold0000359